rnacentral:lncRNA from 1 species
UUCCUCCACACGUGGGGAUUAUGGGAACUACAGGAAGAGAUUUGGGUGGGACACAGCCAAACCAUAUCAGUGACUUUACCUUUUCCCCUCUGAUUUUUGUUCCUGUUUUAUUUUUAGUCCAUUACUAAUUGUGCUUACCUGGGAGCAGCUUAACUUAGCUCAUUUUCUGAAAAUUCUGGAGACCUAGAAAUGGCCUUGUGGCCUCUUCCUCACCUGAAAGGCACCUACUAAAGCUCAAAGAUGGCUCUGCCUUGGAUGUCCAAAAUUUCUGCUUUUGACUAUAGUGAAGAUGAGACUGGCCUUUUGCAUAUCGAGCCAAUUGAUAAAAUGGGGAAUUAAUGCCACAGCCAGUUAUUCAAGCACUAGAACAAGAAGACGUGGAAGGGCAAGUGGGCCCCACUCCCAGCUGGGGGCUGCAGAUCUCUCUUAGGUAAGCAGUACAACCUGAGAAAAGAGGACAACCCUCUGGGAUCUUUGGCACCGUGACGCUGCCAUAUUCCAGGAGAGGACAGGUGAGGGUUCGCUGUGGCUGAAUCGGAAGGAGACAGAAGAAGCAGGGACGAGCCACCGGGCAGGCCUCAGGACAGGCUUAGGUUCUGAACUUGAUCCCAUGGACUGGUGUUACCCAGAGUGAAGAAAACUGUCUUUCCUCCUUUAAUACCUAUAUAUUUUAUUUUAGCACGUAUUGGGGAAAAAAUAAUAGUUGCAUUGGAUAUGGCUAAUUUUACGAAUUAACUUCAGUGAAAAAAGGGAAUGGUUUUAAAGAGAAGUGAUGGGUGAGUUCUUGAGUUAAUUCCCUCAGGGGAAGCAGGUGCGCCUGGAGAGCUCAAACCGAGGCCCCUGCUUCACAGGCGGGCGGGCUUUGGGGUAGGAGCUGAAUCCACGUAGGUCUGCCCGGUCCCACGCCUCAGUUCUGUCCCCACGCGGCAGGUUCCUGGAACGACAUUCACCUUUGUUCAGGAACUCCGGUCUUAC